AGAUUAAGUUAUUAAGGGCGCACGGUGGAUGCCUUGGCACUAGAAGCCGAUGAAGGACGUUACUAACGACGAUAUGCUUUGGGUAGCUGUAAGUAAGCGUUGAUCCAGAGAUUUCCGAAUGGGGGAACCUAGCAUGAGUU
rnacentral:rRNA from 1 species